AGUGAACGCUGGCGGUAGGCCUAUCACAUGCAAGUCGAACGGCAGCACAGGAGAGCUUGCUCUCUGGGUGGCGAGUGGCGGACGGGUGAGGAAUACAUCGGAAUCUGCCCAGUCGUGGGGGAUAACGUAGGGAAACUUACGCUAAUACCGCAUACGACCUUCGGGUGAAAGAGGGGGAUCGCAAGACCUCUCGCGAUUGGAUGAGCCGAUGUCGGAUUAGCUAGUUGGCGGGGUAAUGGCCCACCAAGGCGACGAUCCGUAGCUGGUCUGAGAGGAUGAUCAGCCACACUGGAACUGAGACACGGUCCAGACUCCUACGGGAGGCAGCAGUGGGGAAUAUUGGACAAUGGGCGCAAGCCUGAUCCAGCCAUACCGCGUGGGUGAAGAAGGCCUUCGGGUUGUAAAGCCCUUUUGUUGGGAAAGAAAUCUUUCAGGCUAAUACCCUGGGAGGAUGACGGUACCCAAAGAAUAAGCACCGGCUAACUUCGUG
rnacentral:rRNA from 1 species